UGAUCCCCUGCGGGAGAGACCGGCCGUGGCGCCGGCGCCGAAGGAGCAACCGCCCCGGAAACUCUCAGGCAAAAGGACCGCAAUGGAGAU
rnacentral:ncRNA from 2 species